rnacentral:rRNA from 1 species
UACGUAGGGUCCGAGCGUUGUCCGGAAUUAUUGGGCGUAAAGGGCUCGUAGGCGGUCUGUUGCGUCGGGAGUGAAAACUUACAGCUUAACUGUGAGCGUGCUUCCGAUACGGGCAGACUUGAGGUAUUCAGGGGAGAACGGAAUUCCUGGUGUAGCGGUGAAAUGCGCAGAUAUCAGGAGGAACACCGAUGGCGAAGGCAGCCCCCUGGGCCAACACUGACGCUCAGGCACGAAAGCGUGGGGAGCAAACAGG